rnacentral:rRNA from 1 species
UUAGAGUUUGAUCCUGGCUCAGGACGAACGCUGGCGGCAUGCCUAACACAUGCAAGUCGAACGGAAGUAGCAAUACUUUAGUGGCGAACGGGUGAGUAACACGUGAGCAACCUGCCUCAUACACUGGGAUAACAGUUGGAAACGACUGCUAAUACCGGAUAAGACCACACUGUGGCAUCACAGAGGGGUCAAAGUGACUUAGCGGUAUGAGAUGGGCUCGCGUCCAAUUAGCUAGUUGGUGGGGUAACGGCCCACCAAGGCGACGAUUGGUAGCCGACUUGAGAGAGUGAUCGGCCACACUGGAACUGAGACACGGUCCAGACUCCUACGGGAGGCAGCAGUGGGGAAUAUUGGGCAAUGGAGGAAACUCUUACCCAGCAAUGCCGCGUGAGUGAUGAAGGUCUUUGGAUUGUAAAGCUCUGUUGUAUGGGAAGAUAAUGACGGUACCAUACGAGGAAGCCCCGGCAAACUACGUGCCAGCAGCCGCGGUAAUACGUAGGGGGCAAGCGUUGUCCGGAAUUACUGGGCGUAAAGCGCACGCAGGCGGAAUUGUAAGUCCGUUGUAAAAUUCAGAGGCUCAACCUCUGUCUGUCGGCGGAUACUGCAAAUCUAGAGUAUGUGAGAGGGAAGUGGAAUUCCUGGUGUAGCGGUGAAAUGCGUAGAUAUCAGGAGGAACUCCGGUGGCGAAGGCGACUUCCUGGCACAAGACUGACGCUCAUGUGCGAAAGCUAGGGUAGCGAACGGGAUUAGAUACCCCGGUAGUCCACACUGUAAACGAUGAGUGCUAAGUAUCGGAGGAUUCGGUGCUUAAGCUAACGCAGUAAGCACUCCGCCUGGGGGGUACGGUCGCAAGACUGAAACUCAAAGGAAUUGACGGGGACUCGCACAAGCGGUGGAGUAUGUGGUUUAAUUCGAAGCAACGCGAAGAACCUUACCAGGGCUUGACAUGCAGGUGAAUAAUGUAGAGAUACAUUAGUCCUUCGGGACACCUGUGCAGGUGGUGCAUGGUUGUCGUCAGCUCGUGUCGUGAGAUGUUGGGUUAAGUCCCGCAACGAGCGCAACCCCUGUUGCUAGUUGCCAUCAUUAAGUUGGGCACUCUAGCGAGACUGCCGGUGACAAAUCGGAGGAAGGUGGGGAGGACGUCAAAUCAUCAUGCCCCUUAUGUCCUGGGCUACACACGUACUACAAUGGCCGGCACAGCGGGAAGCGAGUCAGUGAUGGCGAGCGGAUCCCUCAAAGCCGGUCCCAGUUCGGAUUGAAGUCUGCAACUCGACUUCAUGAAGCAGGAAUCGCUAGUAAUCGCAGAUCAGCCAAGCUGCGGUGAAUACGUUCCCGGGCCUUGUACUCACCGCCCG